CUGGUCUUGACAUCCACAGAACUUUCCAGAGAUGGAUUGGUGCCUUCGGGAACUGUGAGACAGGUGCUGCAUGGCUGUCGUCAGCUCGUGUUGUGAAAUGUUGGGUUAAGUCCCGCAACGAGCGCAGCCCUUAUCCUUUGUUGCCAGCGGUCCGGCCGGGAACUCAAAGGAGACUGCCAGUGAUAAACUGGAGGAAGGUGGGGAUGACGUCAAGUCAUCAUGGCCCUUACGACCAGGGCUACACACGUGCUACAAUGGCAUAUACAAAGAGAAGCGGCCUCGCGAGAGCAAGCGGACCUCAUAAAGUAUGUCGUAGUCCGGAUUGGAGUCUGCAACUCGACUCCAUGAAGUCGGAAUCGCUAGUAAUCGUAGAUCAGAAUGCUACGGUGAAUACGUUCCC
rnacentral:rRNA from 1 species